rnacentral:rRNA from 1 species
GACCUAUCAGCUUUCGACGGUAUGGUAUUGGCUUACCGUGGCAGUGACGGUUAACGGGGGAUUAGGGUUCGAUUCCGGAGAGGGAGCCUGAGAAACGGCUACCACAUCUAAGGAAGGCAGCAGGCGCGCAAAUUACCCAAUUCUAACAGCAUAAGAGAGGUAGUGACAAGAAAUAACAGUACAAGGCAGUUAAAAUGCUUUGUAAUUGGAAUGAUAGAAAUUUAAAACUUUUUAAAGUAUCAAUUGGAGGGCAAGUCUGGUGCCAGCAGCCGCGGUAAUUCCAGCUCCAAUAGCGUAUAUUAAAAUUGUUGCAGUUAAAAAGCUCGUAGUUGAAUUUCUGCUAAAAAUAACCGGUGUGCUUUUAUUAAUAAAAGUGAUAUCUUGGUGUGUUUUUAGCAAUAAUGUCCUUAGAAAUGGUUUUUACUUUAUUGUAAAAAACAAAAUUCAGGAUUUUUACUUUGAGAAAAUUAGAGUGUUUC